GGGUUGUGAGGUUAAGCGACUAAGCGUACACGGUGGAUGCCCUGGCAGUCAGAGGCGAUGAAGGACGUGCUAAUCUGCGAUAAGCGUCGGUAAGGUGAUAUGAACCGUUAUAACCGGCGAUUUCCGAAUGGGGAAACCCAGUGUGUUUCGACACACUAUCAUUAACUGAAUCCAUAGGUUAAUGAGGCGAACCGGGGGAACUGAAACAUCUAAGUACCCCGAGGAAAAGAAAUCAACCGAGAUUCCCCCAGUAGCGGCGAGCGAACGGGGAGCAGCCCAGAGCCUGAAUCAGUAUGUGUGUUAGUGGAAGCGUCUGGAAAGGCGCGCGAUACAGGGUGACAGCCCCGUACACAAAAAUGCACAUAUUGUGAGCUCGAUGAGUAGGGCGGGACACGUGGUAUCCUGUCUGAAUAUGGGGGGACCAUCCUCCAAGGCUAAAUACUCCUGACUGACCGAUAGUGAACCAGUACCGUGAGGGAAAGGCGAAAAGAACCCCGGCGAGGGGAGUGAAAAAGAACCUGAAACCGUGUACGUACAAGCAGUGGGAGCACGCUUAGGCGUGUGACUGCGUACCUUUUGUAUAAUGGGUCAGCGACUUAUAUUCUGUAGCAAGGUUAACCGAAUAGGGGAGCCGAAGGGAAACCGAGUCUUAACUGGGCGUUAAGUUGCAGGGUAUAGACCCGAAACCCGGUGAUCUAGCCAUGGGCAGGUUGAAGGUUGGGUAACACUAACUGGAGGACCGAACCGACUAAUGUUGAAAAAUUAGCGGAUGACUUGUGGCUGGGGGUGAAAGGCCAAUCAAACCGGGAGAUAGCUGGUUCUCCCCGAAAGCUAUUUAGGUAGCGCCUCGUGAAUUCAUCUCCGGGGGUAGAGCACUGUUUCGGCAAGGGGGUCAUCCCGACUUACCAACCCGAUGCAAACUGCGAAUACCGGAGAAUGUUAUCACGGGAGACACACGGCGGGUGCUAACGUCCGUCGUGAAGAGGGAAACAACCCAGACCGCCAGCUAAGGUCCCAAAGUCAUGGUUAAGUGGGAAACGAUGUGGGAAGGCCCAGACAGCCAGGAUGUUGGCUUAGAAGCAGCCAUCAUUUAAAGAAAGCGUAAUAGCUCACUGGUCGAGUCGGCCUGCGCGGAAGAUGUAACGGGGCUAAACCAUGCACCGAAGCUGCGGCAGCGACACUAUGUGUUGUUGGGUAGGGGAGCGUUCUGUAAGCCUGUGAAGGUGUACUGUGAGGUAUGCUGGAGGUAUCAGAAGUGCGAAUGCUGACAUAAGUAACGAUAAAGCGGGUGAAAAGCCCGCUCGCCGGAAGACCAAGGGUUCCUGUCCAACGUUAAUCGGGGCAGGGUGAGUCGACCCCUAAGGCGAGGCCGAAAGGCGUAGUCGAUGGGAAACAGGUUAAUAUUCCUGUACUUGGUGUUACUGCGAAGGGGGGACGGAGAAGGCUAUGUUGGCCGGGCGACGGUUGUCCCGGUUUAAGCGUGUAGGCUGGUUUUCCAGGCAAAUCCGGAAAAUCAAGGCUGAGGCGUGAUGACGAGGCACUACGGUGCUGAAGCAACAAAUGCCCUGCUUCCAGGAAAAGCCUCUAAGCAUCAGGUAACAUCAAAUCGUACCCCAAACCGACACAGGUGGUCAGGUAGAGAAUACCAAGGCGCUUGAGAGAACUCGGGUGAAGGAACUAGGCAAAAUGGUGCCGUAACUUCGGGAGAAGGCACGCUGAUAUGUAGGUGAGGUCCCUCGCGGAUGGAGCUGAAAUCAGUCGAAGAUACCAGCUGGCUGCAACUGUUUAUUAAAAACACAGCACUGUGCAAACACGAAAGUGGACGUAUACGGUGUGACGCCUGCCCGGUGCCGGAAGGUUAAUUGAUGGGGUUAGCGCAAGCGAAGCUCUUGAUCGAAGCCCCGGUAAACGGCGGCCGUAACUAUAACGGUCCUAAGGUAGCGAAAUUCCUUGUCGGGUAAGUUCCGACCUGCACGAAUGGCGUAAUGAUGGCCAGGCUGUCUCCACCCGAGACUCAGUGAAAUUGAACUCGCUGUGAAGAUGCAGUGUACCCGCGGCAAGACGGAAAGACCCCGUGAACCUUUACUAUAGCUUGACACUGAACAUUGAGCCUUGAUGUGUAGGAUAGGUGGGAGGCUUUGAAGUGUGGACGCCAGUCUGCAUGGAGCCGACCUUGAAAUACCACCCUUUAAUGUUUGAUGUUCUAACGUUGACCCGUAAUCCGGGUUGCGGACAGUGUCUGGUGGGUAGUUUGACUGGGGCGGUCUCCUCCUAAAGAGUAACGGAGGAGCACGAAGGUUGGCUAAUCCUGGUCGGACAUCAGGAGGUUAGUGCAAUGGCAUAAGCCAGCUUGACUGCGAGCGUGACGGCGCGAGCAGGUGCGAAAGCAGGUCAUAGUGAUCCGGUGGUUCUGAAUGGAAGGGCCAUCGCUCAACGGAUAAAAGGUACUCCGGGGAUAACAGGCUGAUACCGCCCAAGAGUUCAUAUCGACGGCGGUGUUUGGCACCUCGAUGUCGGCUCAUCACAUCCUGGGGCUGAAGUAGGUCCCAAGGGUAUGGCUGUUCGCCAUUUAAAGUGGUACGCGAGCUGGGUUUAGAACGUCGUGAGACAGUUCGGUCCCUAUCUGCCGUGGGCGCUGGAGAACUGAGGGGGGCUGCUCCUAGUACGAGAGGACCGGAGUGGACGCAUCACUGGUGUUCGGGUUGUCAUGCCAAUGGCACUGCCCGGUAGCUAAAUGCGGAAGAGAUAAGUGCUGAAAGCAUCUAAGCACGAAACUUGCCCCGAGAUGAGUUCUCCCUGACUCCUUGAGAGUCCUGAAGGAACGUUGAAGACGACGACGUUGAUAGGCCGGGUGUGUAAGCGCAGCGAUGCGUUGAGCUAACCGGUACUAAUGAACCGUGAGGCUUAACCUUACAACGCCGAAGCUGUU
rnacentral:rRNA from 1 species